UACGAAGGUGGCAAGCGUUGUUCGGAUUUACUGGGCGUACAGGGAGCGUAGGCGGUUGGAUAAGCCCUCCGUGAAAUCUCCAGGCUUAACCUGGAAAGUGCAGAGGGGACUGUUCAGCUAGAGGAUGGGAGAGGAGCGCGGAAUUCCCGGUGUAGCGGUGAAAUGCGUAGAGAUCGGGAGGAACACCAGUGGCGAAGGCGGCCUUCUGGACCAAUACUGACGCUCAUGCACGAAAGCGUGGGGAGCAAACAGG
rnacentral:rRNA from 1 species